rnacentral:rRNA from 1 species
GACGAACGCUGGCGGCGUGCCUAAUACAUGCAAGUCGAGCGGACAGAUGGGAGCUUGCUCCCUGAUGUUAGCGGCGGACGGGUGAGUAACACGUGGGUAACCUGCCUGUAAGACUGGGAUAACUCCGGGAAACCGGGGCUAAUACCGGAUGGUUGUUUGAACCGCAUGGUUCAGACAUAAAAGGUGGCUUCGGCUACCACUUACAGAUGGACCCGCGGCGCAUUAGCUAGUUGGUGAGGUAACGGCUCACCAAGGCRACGAUGCGUAGCCGACCUGAGAGGGUGAUCGGCCACACUGGGACUGAGACACGGCCCAGACUCCUACGGGAGGCAGCAGUAGGGAAUCUUCCGCAAUGGACGAAAGUCUGACGGAGCAACGCCGCGUGAGUGAUGAAGGUUUUCGGAUCGUAAAGCUCUGUUGUUAGGGAAGAACAAGUGCCGUUCAAAUAGGGCGGCACCUUGACGGUACCUAACCAGAAAGCCACGGCUAACUACGUGCCAGCAGCCGCGGUAAUACGUAGGUGGCAAGCGUUGUCCGGAAUUAUUGGGCGUAAAGGGCUCGCAGGCGGUUUCUUAAGUCUGAUGUGAAAGCCCCCGGCUCAACCGGGGAGGGUCAUUGGAAACUGGGGAACUUGAGUGCAGAAGAGGAGAGUGGAAUUCCACGUGUAGCGGUGAAAUGCGUAGAGAUGUGGAGGAACACCAGUGGCGAAGGCGACUCUCUGGUCUGUAACUGACGCUGAGGAGCGAAAGCGUGGGGAGCGAACAGGAUUAGAUACCCUGGUAGUCCACGCCGUAAACGAUGAGUGCUAAGUGUUAGGGGGUUUCCGCCCCUUAGUGCUGCAGCUAACGCAUUAAGCACUCCGCCUGGGGAGUACGGUCGCAAGACUGAAACUCAAAGGAAUUGACGGGGGCCCGCACAAGCGGUGGAGCAUGUGGUUUAAUUSGAAGCAACGCGAAGAACCUUACCAGGUCUUGACAUCCUCUGACAAUCCUAGAGAUAGGACGUCCCCUUCGGGGGCAGAGUGACAGGUGGUGCAUGGUUGUCGUCAGCUCGUGUCGUGAGAUGUUGGGUUAAGUCCCGCAACGAGCGCAACCCUUGAUCUUAGUUGCCAGCAUUCAGUUGGGCACUCUAAGGUGACUGCCGGUGACAAACCGGAGGAAGGUGGGGAUGACGUCAAAUCAUCAUGCCCCUUAUGACCUGGGCUACACACGUGCUACAAUGGACAGAACAAAGGGCAGCGAAACCGCGAGGUUAAGCCAAUCCCACAAAUCUGUUCUCAGUUCGGAUCGCAGUCUGCAACUCGACUGCGUGAAGCUGGAAUCGCUAGUAAUCGCGGAUCAGCAUGCCGCGGUGAAUACGUUCCCGGGCCUUGUACACACCGCCCGUCACACCACGAGAGUUUGUAACACCCGAAGUCGGUGAGGUAACCUUUAUGGAGCCAGCCGCCGAAGGUGGGACARAUGAUUGGGGUGAAGUCGUAACAAGGUAGCCGUAUCGGAAGGUGCGGCU